CAAAAGCUGGUAUAGUGGGAGUACAAAGAGUUUUGAUCUCUUAGGGAGGGGUUCAAGUCCCUUGCUUUUGA
rnacentral:tRNA from 1 species